CUGUGCUGCUCCCUGUGCUGCUCCCUGUGCUGCUCCCUGUGUUCUCUGUGCUGCCCGUGCUGACAGCCGCCGCGCUCACCUGCCUGUGUGCAGCAGGCAUUUAGAGGUGCCAUGCACAUCUACUGCCGCCCAAAGGACCAACUUCCUCGGUUUCUUUGUAUUUCCUGAAUCCAUUCACUCUUCUGUCGGUUUCUCUGGUGCUUCCCUCCCCCCUUCCUCCAAAGACUGCGUGGAGGAUGCACACAUGAAGGGAAGGAAGAGUUGGCCUCUUGGAGAGGAAGUAGACAUUAGUGCUUUUUUUUUUUUUUUGGUCCAAUUCUGGAACUAAAAAAGCUCCAGUCAGGACCCGGUCUGAUUAGGUUUUAGGAUGAAACAGAUGCAAAGUUUCAUGUGACAAAGUAAAUUGGCACAUGGAAACUGAUGAAUUUUUACAUUCUGUUGUUCCCCAUCUCUUGCAUGGGAUCAGAGCUGUUAGACCUGUAGCUGAUUAAGUGUGAGACCCAGCACAAUAACAAAAGAGUUGGCUAUCAGUUUCUUAAUGGUCAUUCUGGAGCUGGAGUGCAAUAUUCUUUUGAAAUAAAGACAACAAACAGGGUCUUCCCAUUUUUAAACAACCCCACUUUCUGUCUUAAAAAGAAAGAGAGCAGGUUUGUUAAUAGUGCCAGAGCCAGAGCAGAGGUACAUUUACAUUCCAAAACUUGCAUUAAUGCCCAGCUGCAAGAGUUUCCAAGCAGGGCAAAAGCCAGCAAGUUAAAGGAGUUGGACUCAUUUGUCUGCCUUGUUGGCAUUGAAAGAAUUCAGGCAAGGCCAACUGUGUCACUGGGAUUCUCUAAGGUAUAAUUUAGGCAUGAGAUGUUUACAAUCAACUCUCAUUUACAUCAGCUGUGAGAAAAACACAGAAUUUAUUGGUUAUUUCAACUGGUGGGUUAAUUGCUAGUUUAACCACUAACAUUUAUUCAACCUUCUGCAUCUGAAGAGCCCCAUGGCCAGAUCCUGCACUCUAGCUGCCACGCUUGCUCUGCAAGAUUCCUGCAAGUGAGAGGAGCAAGGCCAGGACCUACCACUGUGGUUCAAGUUUUGCAAAGCAGAAUUGGUGCCUGCCCCAUGUGGGUGUCUGACUGAGUCCCAGAACAGUCAGAGCCAUUGGGAGCCAUAUUCACAUCCUCUUUCAGUCCCAGGAACAAGCCAGAACAAAGAUACAGUUUGCCAUGGGCCAGGCUCUGUGUGCCUGCCAGUGGUGGUUACAGAACUGCUUAGCAAAGAGCUUGAUAAGAUCAGUGGGGUCGUUUGUGAGCUAGGAAGUGCCUCCAUGUGUGCCAGGAUCUUGGAGACUGGCCCCCAGACUGCUUUGUGAGUGCUGCACAAGGAAAUCUAAAUGCUGCUAAGCAAGGCUGCGAUGAGUUUUUACACACGUGUGUACGUGUGUGUGUGUGACUUUUGACUUAUCUCUAAGGUUAAUGAAUGUGUUUCCUGUACCUAAGCGAUGUGGAAGCCUUUAGAACUGUUGGGGUCACCAGGGAAAUGUUGAGAGCAAGAUCACACUCUGUGCAUACCACAUAUCCAAAAACACACAAGCCAGCUCAGUGCAACAUGGUGUAUCUUUUAAAGCAACAUGAAAUGUUAACCAAAAUGCUUAGGAUUGUAUUAAGCCAUGCAAAACAAACAAUUAAUUUACAAUUAACCACAUUUAACCCUUUCACUUCAAAGCACAAAAUGAGCAUCAACACUGAAGGCUCAAUAAACUCAGUGAACAUGGGGGAGAAUAAUACUGAAGCCACUGAGUGGUGGCCUGUCUACUUAAACACGUAUUGAGCAACUGCUCACGGGGAAGCUAGCAUAUUGCAGAGCAUGCAGCACGAUCCUGCCUGGCUUCAUAAGGACAACUUCCUCCUGGCUUUGGUGGAGAACAAAGCUGGUAGGAUCAGCCUUGCUGGUUGUUGUUGCAGGGCUUUGCUGUGUGGGUCAGCUGGGGCUUCCAUGUGUGAGCCCUGGGGUAGGAGUCAGGCUUCCUCCCAGGGCAGCUGAGCUUUGUUUUGAGCAAUCAGCACUGGCCUCUGCUGGGGUUCCCAUGAAGGGAUGCUCUGCUUUGUGUGAACUUGCUUCCUUUGCUGGGAGCCAGGUCCUGCAUCCUCGGUGGCUGGCAGGAGUCAGGACACGCAGGGCCUGGCACGGGUGGGACAGGGAUGGCCCCUUGUGCCACAAUGCUGUGAGCAGUGCCCCGCAGCUCGGGGGGCUUAACAAGCCCCUGCUCGGCCAGCCCAGGCAAAAUGGUGUGAAAACCUUUGCUCCUCACAGAAACCCUCUGGGGCUGGUGCUAGCUGGAGCCAGGGCCCUGCUCUGCCAUGCCCACCUGCACCCACGCCUGCCUGUGAUGCCCAUGUUGGCAAGAGACAGGUAUGGAUGAGAGACUCAGUGUGACCGGGGUGGAAGGGACUGUGCUCCACCUGGCCACCACCUCAGCACAGGCUGAGCUUCCCACAGACCAGAACUGGAGCUGCAUUUGAACUCAUGAGCCACAUCUCCAGCCCUGACCAAUGUGAAGCUGGGAUAAGUGAGUGCUGGGUCCUCCCUAAGCCUCUAAGGAAAAUAAAAGUAACAGGUCACCAAGAAGGUCUGGGGAAAACUGGGAAACCUGCUGCUUUUGCAUCCAGUGAGGGUCCAAGUGGUGAAAGAUCUUCUGUCCACCCACAGGGCCCAGGUCAAACCCAGCACAGGCACAUUUUUAUUGCCUUGUGAUAAACCUCCCAGUCCAGAAAGUCCUGGCUUUAUUGUGUGUGAACUUUCACCAUCACUGAAUAUGUCAUUAACCCAGAAAGAAACCUUUUUGUGCUCACAGUCUCUGUCUGCACAGCUCCUCUCAGGAGGCAAAUCCCUCAUGGCGAACACGUCAGCUGGCUGCCUGCUGCAGACAAGGUUAUGACUGCAUUACACAUGCUGAGGAGACCACGGCUCUAUA